AGUGAACGCUGGCGGUAUGCCUAACACAUGCAAGUCGAACGGCAGCACAGUAAGAGCUUGCUCUUACGGGUGGCGAGUGGCGGACGGGUGAGGAAUACAUCGGAAUCUACUUUUUCGUGGGGGAUAACGUAGGGAAACUUACGCUAAUACCGCAUACGACCUACGGGUGAAAGCAGGGGAUCUUCGGACCUUUCGCGAUUGAAUGAGCCGAUGUCGGAUUAGCUAGUUGGCGGGGUAAAGGCCCACCAAGGCGACGAUCCGUAGCUGGUCUGAGAGGAUGAUCAGCCACACUGGAACUGAGACACGGUCCAGACUCCUACGGGAGGAAGCAGUGGGGAAUAUUGGACAAUGGGCGCAAGCCUGAUCCAGCAAUACCGCGUGAGUGAAGAAGGCCUUCGGGUUGUAAAGCCCUUUUGUUGGGAAAGAAGAGCAGCAGGUUAAUACCCCGCUGUUCUGACGGUACCCAAAGAAUAAGCACCGGCUAACUUCGUG
rnacentral:rRNA from 1 species